AAUUCUGCCCUCCGCUUUUCUGGAAACUCGAGAGCCUCGGCCUUCGGGCAGGGAUGCCGCCCUGGUGUCGUUGGAGAACGGAGAGGGGCUUUUCGGAUUCCGUCGUGCGUGUUAACCCAGCGCGUCCCAUCACCACGCUCCAGGCUGGCAGCGAGUUUGGGCGUCUGGGGAGGGGCGGGAGGGGGCGCGGGUGGCACCGAAUGGCCCGCGCCUGGAGGUGAUUCUGGCUUUAUGCACUUGAUCAGAAGCGUAUUACCUAAUCUCUAAAAAUAGACCCCUCUCCAAUCAGUACCGACCUGGGGCCGCAGAUGCGGUUUGGAGGCCCCUUUUGUGAAACUAGAGGUCUGUGAAGCCUGCGAUGUGCCCUCCAUCCUUGGCCGUCCCUCCCCUCCCCCCCCCCCCAACCCCCUCUCCCAGGGCUGGGUGAAGGUGAUUUCCGAAAACUCAGUAACUGGUGUGUUUUGAAACUUUCUCCCCUUUUGCAUUGCAUUUCUGGCGUGGCUGGGUGCCCGUGCACCCUCAUCGUGCUAGUUCCUUCUGGAUGGAGUGUUGAUUGAAUUAGGUUUAUUUUCCCUUGGCUAAUGGGCUCCUAUUGAUGCCAGUGUUUGUGGUCUGGGUGUAGACUUUCAGGAAGCACAGCCGUGAGGCUGUGGCUCCAUCUCGAAUUUUCCUGGUAGUCUGCAGGCCUGGACUCUUCUCCCCUUGUGUUGCGCUCCUGACUUCCGACCCUGCCAGGAGAUUGGGAGGGCUCAGAGACAGGAGGGUGAGGCUUGGGGUUUGUUUUCGAGAGAGGCUGGCGGCCCCUUCCUGCCCCCUCCUCACCCCCUCCACUCGGUCAGCCCCGCUGUUCCCCGGGGCGGUUUGAUUGCUGGAGAAUUGCAUGGACAACACGGCUGUGUGUGGUGGGUAGAUGGGUGGGUGGGGUCUGUCUGCCGGUCUGUUAUAGGAUGUUGCUGACCCAUUUUGCAUAGAGGCAGUGACAAGUUGAGGCUUGUUCCCCUGACGCAGUCCUGUGGUCAUAGCUCUUCUCUCUCAAGCUGUAACUGGCAGACAAGGGGGCUGCAUGGAUCCUUGGACCCCCGUGUGGAAGUUCCUGAAGGGUUUGUUUGGAGAAAACCCUCCCGAGAGCAGCAGGCUCAUCAUGGCUGUGAAAAUCCUGCCGGCCUCGCCUCCACUAUGGUGCAUGGUCCAUAAAGUGGUUAUCUGAGCGAAUGAGCAUUCUCAAGACAGUCGUCAAGACAGUCAAGAAGAGGUUAGAUCCACAUACAUUUGGAUGAAGAUUGGGACUUUGCAUGAAUUAAUGUGGGCAAUUGCACAGUGCAGCACCUGGCCUCCCAGCAAGGUUGCUGUCAGAAUUGAGAGCAGCAAUGCCCUCCACACCGCGAAGGUCUGUCAACGAGGGCUGCUGCUGCUGUGCAUUGCCACUGUUCCUUUAGCCUGGCCUGGCCUCGCCUCACUCUCUGUCUGCUGCCCACCACUCUCCACCACUCUGGCCACAGGCUGACCGGAAGCUGAGAAGGAUGCGCUCCCUCCCUUGCCCCACGCUGGCUGCGCCUGUUGGUCGCCUGGGACCCUGCUCGAGGAUUUUCGGAGCCUGUUGGAUUCACAGUGACACCUGGCCCCCUGGGGAGGACACCAUGGAAGCACGCUGUGGAACCACGCCUGGAUGUGUGUGAUGACUGGGAGGAAGGACCUGACUGAGUGCAUUGUGGAUUCUUCAGCCCGGGUGUCCGUGGGAGACAGAGGACCUCAGCUGCCUACCAGGGCUGAGGUUUCCAUCCUCGUGUAGGGCAGGAAUGACUGGUUGGGUCUCCACCGGUUCCCGCUGGGGCUCCCCUGUGACACAAUCCUGUUAGACCUGGGAUUUCGACACUUUCAGUCUGAAAAACUGCGCGUCCACUCAGAACCCCAGAAGGACUUAGGCACUGCCCUUUCCUGCUGAGAAGCUGGAACAUUUGGCAUUUGGAGCAUUGAGGCUGCCUGGGACCCUUUCCUACUGCUAUGGCCAGAGCUGCAGCGAUGGGGCGGACCCCAGGCGGAGAGAGGAGCAAGCCUGUUCGUGAAAGCUGAAUACAGUGCCGGCUACCGUGGCCCCCUGUGGUCACCUCCCCUCUGAGAGUCCUUGGCAGUGGUGGCUUCAGUCUGCAAGUGCUGUGCCCAGUGAUGUGUCGGAAAGCUAGCCCUUCUACAACAUCACCAUAGCCGAGGUACUCGGAGAUCCAGCGUGAAUACUGUGUUCUGGAGCUGGAGGAAGGGUGAAUGAGGGCCCUUCUUCUCCUUUCUGGCAUCCUGCAAGUGAGUCGCUGCUUUCUGAAAUGCUGCCCUUCGCAGCUGCAGGUCGGCAUGGAGCCAGCCUGGCGCGACCAUCGCUGUCCUGAAGUUCGGGAUGAGGAACACGGAGGAAUCCUGGCGGGAUGGGAUCCAGCAGCCUGUCUGCGUGAGGGGCUUCCCGGGGAAGUGUGGGAAUGAGCCUGACAGAGAGGCCAGAGGGAGUGCUCAGUGGAGGCCCAGCUGCUGGAGGGCCUGGGGGCUGCACAGCUGGAGCCAGGACGUUCCUGAACCCCAGAGGCAUCGUCUCAGCUAACCGCGUCUCCAGCCUUCUUUCCCAUGGACCUUUGCCCUGUGCCAGCAGCACGUGCACACACUCUGCACGGAUGUGUCUUCCGUGGACCUUGGAUUGUAACUGCAGUUUUCCAUGCAAAUGCUCCAAUUUGUUACUCUGUUUCUCCUUGCUUCUCGGGAGAUUUUAGGCUUCUACCCCCAAACUUUCUCAUAGUCCCAGUUUUCCCCCAUGUCUCAGGACUGGCACUGUUCAGAUGUGUCUGUGGGAAAGAGGCCUCUCUAUGAGCUGAAAACCUCUUUAGGAAGAGCCUCCUUAAGAAGAUGUGAGGGGGCCAGCGUUGUGGCGUAGCAGGUAAGGUGGCUGCCUGAGACCUGGCAUCCCUUACGGGUGCUGGCUCAUGUCCUGGCUGUUCUACUUCCAAUCCAGCUCCCUGCUAUGGCCUGGGAAAGCAGUGAAGAUGGCCCAAGUCCUUGGGCCCCUGCCACCCACAUGGGAGACUUGGAAGAAGCUCCUGGCUCCUGGCUUUGGCCUGGCCCUGGCCAUUGUGGCCAUCUGGGGAGUAAACCAGCAGAUGGAAGAUCUCUCUGUCUCUCUCUGUCUCUGUAUCUCUCUCCCUCUUCCUCUUUGUCUCUGUAACUCUUUAGAAUAAAUAAAUAAAUAAAUCUUUUUUUUUUUUUUUUUGACAGGCAGAGUGGACAGUGAGAGAGAGAGACAGAGUGAAAGGUCUUCCUUUUGCCGUUGGUUCACCCUCCAAUGCGCUGCAGCCAGUGUACCACGCUGAUCCGAUGGCAGGAGCCAGGUGCUUCUCCUGGUCUCCCAUGGGGUGCAGGGCCCAAGUACUUGGGCCAUCCUCCACUGCACUCCCUGGCCACAGCAGAGAGCUGGCCUGGAAUAGGGGCAACCGGGACAGAAUCCGGCGCCCCGACCGGGACUAGAACCUGGUGUGCCGGCUCCGCAAGGCGAAGGAUUAGCCCAGUGAGCCGUGGCCCCAGCCUUAAAUAAAUAAAUCUUAAGAAGAAGAAUAAGAAGGUGUGAGUAGGGGCCAGCAUUGUGAUAUAGCAGGUUAAACAGUGGCCUACAAUGCAGGAUGAGACAUGACACCAGUUCGAGUUCCACUUCCCAUCCAGUUCCCUGCUGAUGUGCAUGGGAAAGUAGCAGAAGAUGGCCCAACUCCUUGGGCUGUGCCACUCACAUGGGAGACCCAGUCACUGGCUCAGCCUUGUGCCAGUGGAUGGAAGAUCUCUCUCUCUCUCUUUCUCUCUGGCUCUGUCUCUGUCUGUCUCUUUGUCUCCCUCUCUCUAACUCUGCCUUUGAAAUAAAAGCCUUUAAAAAAAAGAUGUGUGUGUUCUUUUUUUUUAAAGAUUCAUUUAUUUAUUUGAAAGUCCGACUUACAUAGAGAGAGAAGUCUUCCAUCCGCUGAUUCACUCCCCAGUUGGCUGCAACAGCCGGAGCUGUGCUGAUCUGAAGCCAGGAACCAGGAUCUGCUUCUGGGUCUCCCACGCGGGAGCAGGGGACCAGGGACUUGUGCCAUCUUCCACUGCUUUCCCAGGCCAUAUCAGAGAGUUGGAUCAGAAGUGGAGCAUCCGGCUCCACAUGGGAUGCUGGCACUGCAGGCGGCAGCUAUACCCGCUACGCCACAGCGCUGGCCUCGUGCACAUUCUUAAAUAGACAACCUCCAAGGAGGAGAAGAAAGCCUCUGUGAAGUUGGAUCCCUGGGAGUCACAGCGGUGCUCAUCAGAACAGAGCACCCGUGGCAUCUCAUUCCUGACUAGUUACCCAAUGGCAGAAAAAUAGGUUUUGGAGUUUCCUGUCAGGAUUUGUAGGGAGCCCAGUGGAAGCCUCCAUUGCUAGUGGCAGUGAAAAUGAGCCUUCUGGAAGAAUUUGUUAGGAGAUAUUAAGGUCUGGGUUGGCCUGUGUCGCUGUGUGGGGAGUUCACUUAGAAGUCUUGCACUAGGCUUCUUUCUACCGCUCUAACAGGACGUCUCUGACUUCAAUAAAUCUUGCUUUUAAAUAGAGAAAGAAGGGGGAAAGGGAGGGGGAGGAGGAGGGAGGGGGAGGAGGAGGAGGAGAAGGAUAAGUGUUCUAGGCAAAGAGAGGGCUGUGUAUGAAGGGGUUUCUUGAAGCUGGCUGCAUUUUGGGGCAAAAUCGAAGGGUCUCCAGGGGUCUGUGGUACUGCUGCUCUGUGGAGCUUUCCAGAUGUCUGAGGAGUCCUGGUGGAAGAGAGGUGGCCCCUUCCGAGAGCAGUGCCAUCUGGGAUGUGACAGGCACGUGGGUGUUGUGUCCUGCCUGGGACGAUGCAAAAUCCAUAGAGAGAGAGAAACCGGUCGUUCUGAGAAAAACGAAGCAUCUACCUACUUGGGGUAACAGGAGUACGGUGGUUUGUUCUUUCUCCUUUUUGUAACCUGCUUAUUCAGUUCAAAUUAUUCCCAUCCAAAGAAGGAAAGAAAAAUCUCUUUGUGAAUGCCCGUGGCCUUGUGUGCUCCCAGAGUGGUUUCACUGCAGGGCAGUGGGAGCCAGGUGUGUCGUGUGUCAUGUGUCACGGGGUGUGUGUGCUUCAUUGCAGGGCAGCGGGAGCCAGGCGUGUCGUGUGUCACGUGUCACAGGGCAUGUGUGCUCCCAGAGUGGCUUCACUGCAGGGCAACGGGAGCCAGGCGUUUCGUGUGUCAUGUGUCACGGGGUGUGUGUGCUUCACUGCAGGGUAGCGGGAGCCAGGCGUGUCGUGUGUCAUGUGUCAUGGGGUGUGUGUGCUUCAUUGCAGGGCAGUGGGAGCCAGGUGUGUUGUGUGUCACGUGUCACGGGGUGUGUGUGCUUCAUUGCAGGGCAGCGGGAGCCAGGCGUGUCAUGUGUCACGUGUCAUGGGGGGUGUGUGCUUCAUUGCAGGGCAGCGGGAGCCAGGUGUGUCGUGUGUCAUGUGUCACGGGGUGUGUGUGCUUCAUUGCAGGGCAGCGGGAGCCAGGCGUGUCGUGUGUCACGUGUCACAGGGCAUGUGUGCUCCCAGAGUGGCUUCACUGCAGGGCAACGGGAGCCAGGCGUUUCGUGUGUCAUGUGUCAUGGGGGGUGUGUGCUUCACUGCAGGGCAGCGGGAGCCAGGGGUGUUGUGUGUCGUGUGUCAUGGGGGGUGUGUGCUUCACUGCAAGGCAGCGGGAGCCAGGCGUGUCGCAUGUCACGUGUCACGGGGCGUGUGUGCUCCCAGAGUGGCUUCACUGCAGGGCAACGGGAGCCAGGCGUGUCAUGUGUCACGUGUCAUGGGGGGUGUGUGCUUCAUUGCAGGGCAGCGGGAGCCAGGUGUGUCGUGUGUCAUGUGUCACGGGGUGUGUGUGCUUCAUUGCAGGGCAGUGGGAGCCAGGCAUGUUGCGUGUCACGUGUCAUGGGGCGUUUCUGCCGCACUCAGCAGAGAGGGUGGCAGUGCUUCCAGGGGUUAGGGCCUCCCGGGCCUCACACCGCAGACAAGUGGUGAGCCUGAGGCACAGGGCUGCACACGGGCAUGAGCUUAGGAAGGUCACUCUGUUUUCCUCCCCUGUGUAUCCAGCAGUCCCGAAAGUGUGUCUCAUAUCCCUCCCAUCCACGUCUCCUUCACACCUCAUGAUUGUGCUGGGGCGGGGGGGUAAUAGGAUUAUCCCCAUUUUACAGACCAGGAAGUCAAGUCCCCAGAGCUUGUGGCUGUUGCUGUGUUCCUUCAGGCUCUCCACACGUGACCUCAGAGCUGACAAGAGGGCUCUUUGGGGCCAUUCUUCACACCUGCUUGUCCUUUUUUUUUUUUUAAUAUUUAUUUAUUUGAAAGUCAGCGUUACACAGAGAGAAAAGAGGCAGAGAGAGAAAGAGAGAGAGAGAGAGAGAGAGGUCUUGCAUCCGCUGGUUCACUCCCCCAUUGGCCGCAAUGGCCAGAGCUGUGGCGAUCCAAAGCCAGGAGCCAGGAGUUUCUUCUGGGUCUCCCACGUGGGUGCAGGGGCCCGAGGACUUCUACUGCUUUCCCAGGCCAUAGCAGAGAGCUGGAUCAGAAGUGGAGCACCUGGGCUUCAACAGGAGUCCAUAUGGGACGCUGGCACUGCAGGCGGCAGCUUUACCCGCUACACCACAGCACCGGCCCCCACACCUGCUUUUUAAAGAUGCGGCACUGAGGCUCCACUAAGUUGUUUGUGAAAGGCUCAUAGCCAGUGAGAGUCAUGGGAGCACUCACACCUGGAUUUCCCGACUCUGUAUCUGGUUGUGUUUUUUCUACUGUAUUUUAUUACAAAGGCUUCCUCCAUUCAGGGCACGUCAUGGUCUCUGCAAGACCCAUCCCUUACUUCCUUUUCUGGCCUUUCCAUUCUCAGUGCCUUCACACACACACACACACACACACACACACACACACCCAUCAGCAUCUACUCUGUGUCUGCUGCAUGCUCUGUGUGGGUACGCAGUCCUUUCUUGUUCUGAUUGGGUAGCUGUUUUGAAAGCAGGUAGACACAUGGGAUUCUGUUACAGAUCUCAAUCUGGCUUUUCUUCUUAGUCAGCACUAUAUUUUUUAGAUCACUGUAUUAGUCUGUUUGAAAAAAAAAAAACAGUCCUGGGGCUUGGUGCCUUAUAAAGAAAAGAGAUUAGGUUAGCUUGCACUUCUGGAGGUUCAAGGGCAGGGCGAUAUACCAGUCUGGUGAAGGCACCCUGGCAGAUGGCAUCACACAGUGAGUGCUUGCAACAGGGAGUGAUCACAUGGCUGGAGAGCAGAGAGGGACCAGUCUUGUUCUUUUGAUAACAACCCUCUUCCGAGAGCUAAGGCAGGGGCUCCCGGGAGCCACCUUAAUUCCUCCACCCCCAGUUACCUCCCAUUUGCUCCACAUCUUAAAGGUCCCACCACCUGUCAACAUUGCUAUAUUGUGUCAUGCUCAAAUCAUAAUCAAGCCAGAAUAAUCUAGCGCUGACGUUCUGGGUACCCCUGUUCCGAUGUGGGCUGCCUCUUCCCUCCCCUC